AUUGAACGCUGGCGGAAUGCUUUACACAUGCAAGUCGAACGGCAGCACGGACUUCGGUCUGGUGGCGAGUGGCGAACGGGUGAGUAAUGUAUCGGAACGUGCCCAGUCGUGGGGGAUAACGUAGUGAAAAUUACGCUAAUACCGCAUACGAUCUAUGGAUGAAAGCGGGGGAUCGCAAGACCUCGCGCGAUUGGAGCGGCCGCUAUCAGAUUAGGUAGUUGGUGGGGUAAAGGCCCACCAAGCCAACGAUCUGUAGCUGGUCUGAGAGGACGACCAGCCACACUGGAACUGAGACACGGUCCAGACUCCUACGGGAGGCAGCAGUGGGGAAUUUUGGGCAAUGGGCGAAAGCCUGAUCCAGCCAUGCCGCGUGCAGGAUGAAGGCCCUCGGGUUGUAAACUGCUUUUGUACAGAACGAAAAGGUUUCUACUAAUACUAGGAGCUCAUGACGGUACUGUAAGAAUAAGCACCGGCUAACUACGUGCCAGCCGCCGCCGUAA
rnacentral:rRNA from 1 species